ACGACGUUACUUGAACAGGAUCUGUUCUAUAGGCUCGUACCAUUGUAUUCUUGAUUUCUAAGGAGACAGGAAACCAAGUCUGGUGGAUGAAUCGUGCCAUUAGACCAGAGCAUGAUUAACAAUAACAAUGGCCUUACGGGUCAUGAGGCUGUAGAUGAUCGUUCUCAGCCUCCGAUCAUGGGGCCUGAGAUGGUCUAAUGGCUGUCUCACAUACU